rnacentral:tRNA from 1 species
UAUUAGCUCAGUUGGUUAGAGCACACCCCUGAUAAGGGUGAGGUCUCUGGUUCAAGUCCA